rnacentral:rRNA from 1 species
GACGAACGCUGGCGGCGUGCCUAAUACAUGCAAGUGGGACGCAAGGAAACACACUGUGCUUGCACACCGUGUUUUCUUGAGUCGCGAACGGGUGAGUAACGCGUAGGUAACCUGCCUAUUAGCGGGGGAUAACUAUUGGAAACGAUAGCUAAUACCGCAUAAUAUUAAUUAUUGCAUGAUAAUUGAUUGAAAGAUGCAAGCGCAUCACUAGUAGAUGGACCUGCGUUGUAUUAGCUAGUUGGUAAGGUAAGAGCUUACCAAGGCGACGAUACAUAGCUGACCUGAGAGGGUGAUCGGCCACACUGGGACUGAGACACGGCCCAGACUCCUACGGGAGGCAGCAGUAGGGAAUCUUCGGCAAUGGACGAAAGUCUGACCGAGCAACGCCGCGUGAGUGAAGAAGGUUUUCGGAUCGUAAAGCUCUGUUGUAAGUCAAGAACGUGUGUGAGAGUGGAAAGUUCACACAGUGACGGUAGCUUACCAGAAAGGGACGGCUAACUACGUGCCAGCAGCCGCGGUAAUACGUAGGUCCCGAGCGUUGUCCGGAUUUAUUGGGCGUAAAGGGAGCGCAGGCGGUCAGGAAAGUCUGGAGUAAAAGGCUAUGGCUCAACCGUAGUGUGCUCUGGAAACUGUCUGACUUGAGUGCAGAAGGGGAGAGUGGAAUUCCAUGUGUAGCGGUGAAAUGCGUAGAUAUAUGGAGGAACACCAGUGGCGAAAGCGGCUCUCUGGUCUGUCACUGACGCUGAGGCUCGAAAGCGUGGGUAGCGAACAGGAUUAGAUACCCUGGUAGUCCACGCCGUAAACGAUGAGUGCUAGGUGUUAGGCCCUUUCCGGGGCUUAGUGCCGGAGCUAACGCAAUAAGCACUCCGCCUGGGGAGUACGACCGCAAGGUUGAAACUCAGAGGAAUUGACGGGGGCCCGCACAAGCGGUGGAGCAUGUGGUUUAAUUCGAAGCAACGCGAAGAACCUUACCAGGUCUUGACAUCCCGAUGCUAUUCUUAGAGAUAGGAAGUUACUUCGGUACAUCGGAGACAGGUGGUGCAUGGUUGUCGUCAGCUCGUGUCGUGAGAUGUUGGGUUAAGUCCCGCAACGAGCGCAACCCUUAUUGUUAGUUGCCAUCAUUAAGUUGGGCACUCUAGCGAGACUGCCGGUAAUAAACCGGAGGAAGGUGGGGAUGACGUCAAAUCAUCAUGCCCCUUAUGACCUGGGCUACACACGUGCUACAAUGGUCGGUACAACGAGUUGCGAGCCGGUGACGGCAAGCUAAUCUCUGAAAGCCGAUCUCAGUUCGGAUUGGAGGCUGCAACUCGCCUCCAUGAAGUCGGAAUCGCUAGUAAUCGCGGAUCAGCACGCCGCGGUGAAUACGUUCCCGGGCCU